rnacentral:rRNA from 1 species
GCAGUCGGGAAUCUUGCGCAAUGGGGGAAACCCUGACGCAGCCAUGCCGCGUGAGUGAAGAAGGCCUUCGGGUUGUAAAGCUCUUUCAGUAGGGAUGAUGAUGACAGUACCUACAGAAGAAGCCCCGGCCAACUUCGUGCCAGCAGCCGCGGUAACACGAAGGGGGCUAGCGUUGUUCGGAAUUACUGGGCGUAAAGGGCGUGUAGGCGGUCAUUGUAAGUCGGGGGUGAAAUCCCGGGGCUCAACCCCGGAACUGCCUUCGAUACUACAUGACUAGAGUGCGGAAGGGGCUAGUGGAAUUUCCAGUGGAGAGGUGAAAUUCGUAGAGAUUGGAAGGAACACCAGAGGCGAAGGCGACUAGCUGGACCGCAACUGACGCUGAGGCGCGAAAGCGUGGGUAGCAAACAGGAUUAGAUACCCUGGUAGUCCACGCCGUAAACGAUGUGUGCUCGUUAUUGGGCUUUUUGUUCAGUGACUGAAGCUAACGCGUUAAGCACACCGCCUGGGGAGUACGGUCGCAAGAUUAAAACUUAAAGGAAUUGACGGGGGCCCGCACAAGCGGUGGAGUAUGUGGUUUAAUUCGAAGCAACGCGCAGAACCUUACCAGCCCUUGACAUCUUGGUCGCGAAUUCCAGAGAUGGAAUUUUUCAGUUCGGCUGGACCAAAGACAGGUGUUGCAUGGCUGUCGUCAGCUCGUGUC